rnacentral:rRNA from 1 species
CUUGGUUAGUAGUAGUUAUUUACUUAAAAUCUAAAAAAUUUGGCGGUAAUUUAAUCUUCUCAGAGGAAUUUGUUUUUUGAUCGAUAAACCGCGAAAAAUCUUACUUGAGUUUGUAUACCGUCAUUAUCAGGUAAUUUUAAAAAAAUAAAUUACUAUAAAUAAAAUAUUUAAAAAAAUUAGAUCAUGGUGCAGCUAAUAAAUAAGUUAAAAUGAGUUACAAUAAAUUGUUUUAUAUGGAUAAGUAAAUUUAGAAAGAGGAUUUGGUUGUAUCUAAAUUUAAUAUGUUUAGAAGAUAAUAGCUCUAAAUUAUGU